CAGCAGUGGGGAAUAUUGCACAAUGGGCGCAAGCCUGAUGCAGCCAUGCCGCGUGUGUGAAGAAGGCCUUCGGGUUGUAAAGCACUUUCAGCAGUGAGGAAGGCGGGUACGUUAAUAGCGUAUUCGUUUGACGUUAGCUGCAGAAGAAGCACCGGCUAACUCCGUGCCAGCAGCCGCGGUAAUACGGAGGGUGCGAGCGUUAAUCGGAAUUACUGGGCGUAAAGCGCAUGCAGGUGGUUUGUUAAGUCAGAUGUGAAAGCCCGGGGCUCAACCUCGGAACAGCAUUUGAAACUGGCAGACUAGAGUACUGUAGAGGGGGGUAGAAUUUCAGGUGUAGCGGUGAAAUGCGUAGAGAUCUGAAGGAAUACCGGUGGCGAAGGCGGCCCCCUGGACAGAUACUGACACUCAGAUGCGAAAGCGUGGGGAGCAAACAGGAUU
rnacentral:rRNA from 1 species